rnacentral:rRNA from 1 species
GGCGUGCCUUUUGCAUAAUGAGCCUACGAGUUACCGUUGCUAGCGAGGUUAAACACUUCAGGUGUGGAGCCGUAGCGAAAGCGAGUCUGAAUAGGGCGCUAUAGUUAGUAGUGGUAGACGCGAAACCGUGUGAUCUACCCAUGGGCAGGUUGAAGCUGUGGUAACACACAGUGGAGGACCGAACCGGUUGACGUUGAAAAGUCUUGGGAUGACCUGUGGGUAGGGGUGAAAGGCCAAUCAAACCGGGAAAUAGCUCGUACUCCCCGAAAUGCUUUUAGGAGCAGCGUAUAGUUAAGUGUAUAAGAGGUAGAGCUACUGGUUGGGCUAGGGGGAGUCACAUCCUACCAAACCCUAUCAAACUCCGAAUGCUUAUACAUGUUUCUAUGCAGUGAGGGUAUGGGUGCUAAGGUCCAUAUCCAAAAGGGAAAGAACCCAGAGCAUCAGCUAAGGUCCCCAAGUGUAUACUAAGUUGAGAAAAUGUGGUGUGAUUGCUUAGACAGCCAGGAUGUUGGCUUGGAAGCAGCCAUUCAUUUAAAGAGUGCGUAACAGCUCACUGGUCGAGCGGUUCCGCAUGGAUAAUAAUCGGGCAUAAGCAUAUCACCGAAGCCGUGACUUUGUAUUUAUACAAGGGGUAGGGGAGCAUUGUAACUGCGUCGAAGGCGUACCUGCGAGGGAUGCUGGAGCGGUUACAAACGAAAAUGUAGGCAUAAGUAACGAUAAUGCGGGCGAGAAACCCGCACGCCGAAAGACCAAGGUUUCCCCAGCUAUGCUAAUCAGCUGGGGGUCAGUCGGGACCUAACGCGAACCCGAAGGGGAUAGUGGAUGGACAACAGAUUAAUAUUUCUGUACCUGCUCACGCUAAAAGUGACGGAGGCGAGAAGUUGGUGCGUACAGACGGAAUUGUACGUUGAAGGGAGCGGUAACGCCCCGAUAGUACACCGAGGCCACGGCCAAGGUGAUAAUCCAGCAUAUCGACUUCCAAGAAAAGCGAGUGAAGCAGCCCGUACCGUAAACCGACACAGGUGGUUGGGAUGAGUAUUCUAAGGCGCUCGAGAGAUUCAUGGCUAAGGAACUAGGCAAAAUAGACCCGUAACUUCGGGAGAAGGGUCGCCCCCUUAUGGGGGGCCGCAGUGAAGAGGUCCAGGCGACUGUUUAUCAAAAACACAGGGCUCUGCAAAAUCGAAAGAUGACGUAUAGGGCCUGACACCUGCCCGGUGCUGGAAGGUUAAGAGGAGAUGUCAUUCCUUCGGGGAGAAGCAUUGAAUUGAAGCCCCAGUAAACGGCGGCCGUAACAAUAACGGUCCUAAGGUAGCGAAAU